AAGAACACUAAGAACAAAAACUCAAAUCCAAGAACACAAACCAGAAAUUAAAAAAAAAAAAAACCAUCAAAGCAUUAGUUCAAACCCAGAUCUCCGCCGAUCCAAACCUACGCACACAUCACAGCACACAAGCUCAAAUCCAAGAAUACAAACCCAGAAAUAAAAAAAAAAAAAAACCAUCAAAGCAUUAGUUCAAACCCACUCCGAUCUCCGCCGAUCCAAACCCACGCACACAUCACAGCACACACCCAGUUUCGGUCACGCCCAGAUCAACCUAGAAACCCACUGAGAAACCCACCGAUCCAAACCCACGCACACAUCAAUAUCAGAAGGAAAGAAGUGGAACAUACGUGAGGAGAACGUUGGCGAAAUCGGAGGGGCAAGUGGCGGAGGAGCUGAGUUUGCAGAGAAUGGAAAUGACGAGAUCGUCCGGCAAGGAAUCGAACAAGUCACGCUUUCCAGCGAUAUCAGAAGAAUUCCGGCUUCUUUUCCGGUAACUAACUUGUUCGGCGGCGAAAUCUCUCCUUCGCUUCACAACUCUCAUGUUCUUAUCUUCAACAACUCUAGGGUAACAAAGCCCUCUCCUUGUUCUCAUAUCUCUCUAACUCUCUCUCUC